AUACGAAGGGGGCAAGCGUUGUUGGGAAUAACUGGGCGUAAAGGGCACGUAGGCGGUUGUAUGCGUCAGAUGUGAAAGACCUGGGCUUAACCUAGGAAUUGCAUCUGAAACGGUACAACUAGAGAUCGAGAGGGGAAAAGGGAAUUGUGAGUGUAGAGGUGAAAUUCGUAGAUAUUCACAGGAACACCGGUGGCGAAGGCGCUUUUCUGGCUCGAAACUGACGCUAAGGUGCGAAAGCGUGGGGAGCAAACAGGAUUAGAAACCCCGUAGUCC
rnacentral:rRNA from 1 species